CAGCGGAUAAUGCCGGGGACUCAUAGGAGACUGCCGGGGUCAACUCGGAGGAAGGUGGGGAUGACGUCAGGUCAUCAUGGCCCUUAUGGGUAGGGCUACACACGUCAUACAAUGGCCGGGACAGAGGGCUGCCAACCCGCGAGGGGGAGCUAAUCCCAGAAACCCGGUCGUAGUCCGGAUCGCAGUCUGCAACUCGACUGCGUGAAGUCGGAAUCGCUAGUAAUCGUGAAUCAGAAUGUCACGGUGAAUACGUUCCCGGGUCUUGUACACACCGCCC
rnacentral:rRNA from 13 species